rnacentral:ncRNA from 1 species
ACAAGGGGAGCUGCUUAAGCGGCUGAGAUAGGAUUAGCGAAUCCUGACCCAUAACCUGAUUUGGAUAAUGCCAACGUAGGGAAUACU